GGCAAAUAAAUCCAAUCAAAAAAUGUGGCACAUACUAUUUGAAUGAUUUGGCGCAUAUACACGAUAGAUGUUCAAUUAUUUUAAGAGUGGAUAUGUGAAUUUUUUUAUAUUUAUAUAACCCUAAAGAUAAUUUAUAUACAUAACUAUCUUUCUAUUUCAAUUAUAUACAUAAUUAUCUCUUUUAAUAUUUUAUUAUUAUUUUUACUUAACUUUUUUUAUUUUUCUUUAUAUCUUCAUUUAAACUUUUAUUUUAAAAUUAAA
rnacentral:lncRNA from 1 species